UACAGAGGGGGCAAGCGUUGUUCGGAAUUACUGGGCGUAAAGGGCGCGUAGGCGGCCUUCUAAGUCGAACGUGAAAUCCCUGGGCUCAACCCAGGAACUGCGUCCGAUACUGGAAGGCUUGAAUCCGGGAGAGGGAUGCGGAAUUCCAGGUGUAGCGGUGAAAUGUGUAGAGAUCGGGAGGAACACCGGUGGCGAAGGCGGGAUCCUGGGCCAGUACUGACGCUGAGGAGCGAAAGCGUGGGGAGCAAACAGG
rnacentral:rRNA from 1 species